CUACGGGUGGCAGCAGUGAGGAAUAUUGCACAAUGGGGGGAACCCUGAUGCAGCAACGCCGCGUGGAGGAUGACGCAUUUCGGUGUGUAAACUCCUUUUAUAUGUCAAGAAAAUGACGGUAGCAUAUGAAUAAGCACCGGCUAACUCCGUGCCAGCAGCCGCGGUAAUACGGAGGGCGCAAGCGUUACUCGGAAUCACUGGGCGUAAAGGACGCGUAGGCGGGUUGAAAAGUCAGGUGUGAAAGCCUACAGCUUAACUGUAGAACUGCACUUGAAACUCUCAACCUAGAGUAUGGGAGGGGCAGAUGGAAUUAGUGGUGUAGGGGUAAAAUCCGUAGAUAUCACUAGGAAUACCUAAAGCGAAGGCGAUCUGCUGGAACAUUACUGACGCUAAGGCGUGAAAGCGUGGGGAGCAAACAGGAUUAGAUACCCUGGUAGUC
rnacentral:rRNA from 1 species